rnacentral:rRNA from 1 species
AACGAUGAUCCCAGCUUGCUGGGGGAUUAGUGGCGAACGGGUGAGUAACACGUGAGUAACCUGCCCUUGACUCUGGGAUAAGCCUGGGAAACUGGGUCUAAUACCGGAUACGACCAUCUGGCGCAUGUCAUGGUGGUGGAAAGCUUUUGUGGUUUUGGAUGGACUCGCGGCCUAUCAGCUUGUUGGUGGGGUAAUGGCCUACCAAGGCGACGACGGGUAGCCGGCCUGAGAGGGUGACCGGCCACACUGGGACUGAGACACGGCCCAGACUCCUACGGGAGGCAGCAGUGGGGAAUAUUGCACCAUGGGCGCAAGCCUGAUGCAGCGACGCCGCGUGAGGGAUGACGGCCUUCGGGUUGUAAACCUCUUUCAGUAGGGAAGAAGCGAAAGUGACGGUACCUGCAGAAGAAGCGCCGGCUAACUACGUGCCAGCAGCCGCGGUAAUACGUAGGGCGCAAGCGUUAUCCGGAAUUAUUGGGCGUAAAGAGCUCGUAGGCGGUUUGUCGCGUCUGCUGUGAAAGACCGGGGCUCAACUCCGGUUCUGCAGUGGGUACGUGCAGACUAGAGUGCAGUAGGGGAGACUGGAAUUCCUGGUGUAGCGGUGAAAUGCGCAGAUAUCAGGAGGAACACCGAUGGCGAAGGCAGGUCUCUGGGCUGUAACUGACGCUGAGGAGCGAAAGCAUGGGGAGCGAACAGGAUUAGAUACCCUGGUAGUCCAUGCCGUAAACGUUGGGCACUAGGUGUGGGGGACAUUCCACGUUUUCCGCGCCGUAGCUAAC